GGGCUUGAACCCAUGAACUGUGAGAUCAUGACCUAAGCCGAAGUCAGAUGCUUAGCUGACUGAGCUGCCCAGGCGCCCCUGAUAUGGAACAUUUUUAUAGCUUUAAGUUUGAAGACUAAGUAUUUGCUUGCGUUCACAACAACAUUUAUUCUUCAGCUUCAGGGAAAUGCAGUGCUUCCACAUUGAGUAAUUUUACAAAUAAAGGGUACUUUAAGAAUCACCCCCAUUUGUUUAUUUUUACCCCUGUGGCCAUUUUCUUUGUGGAUAGUCGCUCAGGGAUCUCACUGGAUCUUCCCUUAUCAUACAGGCAGUUGUAAGAGUGUCCUUGGGGAGACUGAGGCAAGAAGGAUUUACCUUGCAUUGUACAAUUCCACCAUGUUUAAAUGUUGAGAACUUCAUGACCUCCAUGUUUCUUCUUUUGCACCAGAGUUAGAUCACGGCCUUUCUGACUCCGGAGUCCCUGCUCUUAAUCAUUCUGCUUGCUCUACCUGACUUCAGGGAAGGAAGGAGAAUCAGACCUUGAGAUAAAUUUGAAAUCUAGCUGGGGAUAUAAAACUGAAAUGCAUACACAAUGGCUAAUAUGAGAUAUGGAAAUGGAAGUUCAGAGGAAGUAAAAAUCAUAUGCAAGAUCAGUCAGCUCCAAAGUGGUAGAGAGAAGAUUCAGAUCCAGAUCUGUCUUUCUCCGAAGCUCAACCCUGUCCAGCAUAUAUUAUGUUCAGUGAUGUGUCCAAGUCCUGCUUGGAACUCCCUUCAUGAGGCUAACGAUAGAGCAGGCUUGUGGUUGGUAGACCUGAGUGGACCAUGUUAGUAAUCAACCAGACUGGAAGCGUGGGCCUUUCUGAGAGCCUGGGAAGUAGAAGUGGCUCAGAUCCUUGGAGAAGUUGAUGGCCCUUUGAGAAGCAGAAGAGCAUGAUAAUGUGUAUGACUCCAGCACCAACUGAUCUCAUUCAAAUCCCAGCUCCAUCUCUUCCUACCUGUGUAGACCUUGAAUAAGUCACUUAAACUGUCUGUGACCCAGUCCACCUUUUCUGAGGACACUAAUAACCUCAACCUCAGGAUGAUUAUGAAAUUUGAAAGUAGUCAUGCCUUUGAAGCUCUUGGGGCAGUUCCUGAAGCAUAUAAUCUUUAAUCAACAUGAGCUACUGUGAUGCCACCUCCUAGAGGCCACCGUUUACUCAUAGAUGUCGGAUAAUUUUCAUGUGUAAGAUACUUUGGUAAUUUUUAUUUAAGCUACUUAGAUAUCUUUGCCAGUACAUGGGCUUAUGUGACUUUGUCAAUGAACUCCAAAACGUA